UACGUAGGGGGCAAGCGUUAUCCGGAUUUACUGGGCGUAAAGGGAGCGUAGGCGGCCUGCCAAGUCUGAUGUGAAAUACCGGGGCUCAACCCCGGGGCUGCAUUGGAAACUGGCAGGCUGGAGUGCCGGAGAGGCAGGCGGAAUUCCUAGUGUAGCGGUGAAAUGCGUAGAUAUUAGGAGGAACUCCGAUUGCGAAGGCAGCUCACUGGACUGCAACUGACACUGAGGCUCGAAAGUGUGGGUAUCAAACAGG
rnacentral:rRNA from 1 species